CCUACGGGAGGCUGCAGUGGGGAAUAUUGGGCAAUGGGCGAAAGCCUGACCCAGCAACGCCGCGUGAAGGAUGAAGGUCUUCGGGUUGUAAACUUCUUUUCUGAGGGAAGAAGAAAGUGACGGUACCUCAGGAAUAAGCCUCGGCUACCUACGUGCCAGCAGCCGCGGUAAUACGUAGGAGGCGAGCGUUAUCCGGAGUGAUUGGGUGUAAAGGGCGGGUAGGCGGGAUGGCAAGUCAGAUGUGAAAAUCCAGGGCUCAACCUUGGGACUGCAAUUGAAACUGGUGAUCUUGAGUGCUGGAGAGGCAAUCGGAAUUCCUGGUGUAGCGGUGAAAUGCGUAGAUAUAAGGAGGAACACCAGUGGCGAAGGCGGAUUGCUGGACCGUAACUGACGCUGAGGCGCGAAAGCGUGGGGAGCAAACAGGAUUAGAUACCCUUGUAGUC
rnacentral:rRNA from 1 species